rfam:Bagaza virus strain DakAr B209, complete genome
AUGUUUAACAAAAAACCAGGAAAACCCGGGGCAACCCGGGUUGUCAAUAUG